rnacentral:lncRNA from 1 species
AUAUUCUCCCUGAGAAGCUAUUUUGACCAUAUGGUAUUAGGAGAAAUAUUCCAACUCUGAUACCAUAAAAGUUUAGAUACUGCAAAAAUAUGUUUUUAUUCAUAGAGUUGCACAAUAUUUAUGGGUGAACAAGAAGAUCAAAAGAAUUAAUCAAUCCCUAAUUCCUAGGAGCUAUGUUGCGCACACUCAUUGAUUUCUCCGUCGAACCCAUCCCAAUGCAACAUUGAUGCGGGCGCUAGGUACGUCUCCGAUUCGGUCAAAUGAAUCUGAAGACGUUGAUCCAACAUCAAGAACAAAGUUAGUUGUCGUCGUCGUCAGAAAGUCCGGCGACUGUAAUUGUCAUCGCAGGAGUGGGAGAAAAUCGGUGACUACUGUCACCAUUGGAAUCCGACGAUAGUCACCAUCGAAAUCGCCGACUGUUGUGAUCGUCAGAAUUUGACGACUGUAAUUUUUUCAUCGAAAUUUGAAUUGUUGGGAAGAAACAAAAAGUGGUUGGG